AAAUCAAUAAACUUCAUAGAUAGAAAGAAAAUUAAAUUUCUGAGAAAACUUGUCUUUUUAUGAGACUUUAGCGGUAUUGAGACCUCUGCCAUUGAGCUAUUCUACUUCUAACCUGCACUAUUGUUUACACCACAAGCAUUACAUGAGCAUCAAACUGAGAAUCACAUUAUUUAAGAUAGAUUUGUUAAUAAUCCAUGAUAGAAAACAGUUGGAAAGUAGGCACUAUAAUGUCAG
rnacentral:misc_RNA from 1 species